GGUCCCAUCGUCUAUCGGUUAGGACAGCUGGUUUUCAUCCUGCAAAGAGGGGUUCGAUUCCCCUUGGGACCGCCA
rnacentral:tRNA from 1 species